rnacentral:rRNA from 1 species
GACGAACGCUGGCGGCGUGCUUAACACAUGCCAGUCGAACGAAGAGCGAUGGAAGCUUGCUUCUAUCAAUCUUAGUGGCGAACGGGUGAGUAACGCGUAAUCAACCUGCCCUUCAGAGGGGGACAACAGUUGGAAACGACUGCUAAUACCGCAUACGAUCUGACCUCGGCAUCGAGGAUAGAUGAAAGGUGGCCUCUACAUGUAAGCUAUCACUGAAGGAGGGGAUUGCGUCUGAUUAGCUAGUUGGAGGGGUAACGGCCCACCAAGGCGAUGAUCAGUAGCCGGUCUGAGAGGAUGAACGGCCACAUUGGGACUGAGACACGGCCCAGACUCCUACGGGAGGCAGCAGUGGGGAAUCUUCCGCAAUGGACGAAAGUCUGACGGAGCAACGCCGCGUGAGUGAUGACGGCCUUCGGGUUGUAAAGCUCUGUUAAUCGGGACGAAAGGCCUUUUUGCGAAUAGUGAGAAGGAUUGACGGUACCGGAAUAGAAAGCCACGGCUAACUACGUG